rnacentral:ncRNA from 2 species
AUGAAGGUAGCAGGAGAGCGGUGAGUGGUUAUUCAGAGCCAUCACCCACCGAAGAAGUAAAUCUUUCAGGUGUCUCCCCCGACGAACAGCCCUUGUUGU